CGGAGCGCGUGUGCGGGCCCGGGAGCGGCGGCAGCGGCCGGAGCCCGGUGAGGCGGCGGCGGAGCUCGGAGGCGGCCCCAGCGCAGGCACUUGUUAUAGAAGAAAGUGGAGGAAGCGAACUGUUGUAAGAACAGAUUGAAAGCAGUAAGAACAAUGGCCAGCACCUGGACUGUGAAUCAAUCAGUCAUGAAACAGGGGACCCUGGAUUGUGCCCAGAGGGUCUCAGAGACCUGAUGAAGACUCUUCUGACUUCAUCCUUUGAGAGCACUGACCCAAUUCAAGACCACUGACCCAAUUCAAGAGAAGAAUUGCGCACGCAUGAAGGACUAAUACCUCAUUUUCAUACAGAAAGGACAUGGGAGGUGCUGGGGUUAUGCAUCUGUAUUGUGUGUAAGAUCUUGGGAAAUAAAUAGAGGGUAAAGAACCUUGUUUGGUGUGGUCACGCCUUUUGGUGAUGACUGCUGUGCCACCUGCCAGUGAAUAAACAUACCACUUUGUAACUUUAA